rnacentral:rRNA from 1 species
CCAAUAGCGUAUAUUAAAGUUGUUGCAGUUAAAAAGCUCGUAGUUGAACUUCGGGGUCUACCCAUUGGUCAGGCUUAAUUGUCUGCACUGGUGAGAUGAAUCUCUACCUUCUGAGGAACUUUCAUGCCAUUUAUUUGGUGUGAUGGGAAAUCAGGACUGUUACUUUGAAAAAAUUAGAGUGUUUAAAGCAGACUAUCGUCUGAAUACAUUAGCAUGGAAUAAUGAAAUAGGACGGACUGAUUCUAUUUCGUUGGUUUCUAGGAUCACCGUAAUGAUUAAUAGGGAUAGUUGGGGGCAUUAGUAUUCAAUUGUCAGAGGUGAAAUUCUUGGAUUUAUUGAAGACUAACUACUGCGAAAGCAUUUGCCAAGGAUGUUUUCAUUAAUCAAGAACGAAAGUUAGGGGAUCGAAGACGAUCAGAUACCGUCGUAGUCUUAACCAUAAACUAUGCCGACUAGGGAUCGGACGAAGUUAAUUUUAUAAUGACGCGUUCGGCACCUUACG